rnacentral:rRNA from 1 species
GAUGAACGCUGGCGGUAUGCUUAACACAUGCAAGUCGAACGGACUCUUCGGAGUUAGUGGCGGACGGGUGAGUAACGCGUGAGAAUCUGGCUUUGGGUUCGGGACAACCACUGGAAACGGUGGCUAAUACCGGAUGUGCCGAGAGGUAAAAGAGAAAUUGCCUGAAGAUGAGCUCGCGUCUGAUUAGCUAGUUGGUGAGGUAAAGGCUCACCAAGGCAGCGAUCAGUAGCUGGUCUGAGAGGAUGACCAGCCACACUGGGACUGAGACACGGCCCAGACUCCUACGGGGGGGAGAAGUGGGGAAUUUUCCGCAAGGGGGGAAAGCCUGACGGAGCAAUACCGGGGGAGGGAAGAAGGUUUUUGGGUUGAAAACCUUUUUUCUUAGGGAAAAAAAAAAGGACGGUACCAAAGGAAUCAGCAUCGGUUAAAUCCGU